rnacentral:rRNA from 1 species
CUUGGUCAUUUAGAGGAAGUAAAAGUCGUAACAAGGUUUCCGUAGGUGAACCUGCGGAAGGAUCAUUACAAGUGAGGCUACCGAACGUUGGAAACAGCGGUUAGGAGCUUACACCCACCCGUGUUUACAUACUAUUGUUGCUUUGGCGGGCCGUGGCCUCCACUGCGGGCUCUGCUCGUGUGUGCCCGCCAGAGAACCAAACUCUGAAUGUUAGUGAUGUCUGAGUACUAUCUAAUAGUUAAAACUUUCAACAACGGAUCUCUCGGUUCUGGCAUCGAUGAAGAACGCAGCGAAAUGCGAUAAGUAAUGUGAAUUGCAGAAUUCAGUGAAUCAUCGAAUCUUUGAACGCACAUUGCGCCCUGUGGUAUUCCGCAGGGCAUGCCUGUUCGAGCGUCAUUUAACCACUCACGCCUAGCGUGGUAUUGGGGCACGCGGUCUCCGCGGCCCUCAAAAUCAGUGGCGGCGCCGGUGGGCUCUAAGCGUAGUACAUACUCCCGCUAUAGAGUUCCCCCCGGUGGCUCGCCAGAACCCCCAAUUUUUUACAGGUUGACCUCGGAUCAGGUAGGGAUACCCGCUGAACUUAAGCAUAUCAAUAAGCGGAGGA